GCUUGGGUGUGUAUAAAGUGAGGAUUAUGACUUCCGUAAAUAAUCACUCAAAAACUACUCAAGCGGCGUCUUUAAUCUUGUUAUAUAUUCUUUUGAAAAGAAAGAGUGAGAUUAAACAAAAUGAAGAGAAAUCUAAAUUUUCUAAAAUCUCAUGUAUCUCAGACUAAUUUAAAAUAAUUUUGUCAACUAUAACCGACCUGAAUAACGAAACUAACGAUAGGAAAUU
rnacentral:lncRNA from 1 species